CUGCUGCCUCCCGUAGGAGUCUGGGCCGUGUCUCAGUCCCCAAUGUGGCCGUUCAACCUCUCAGUCCGGCUACCGAUUGUCGGUUUGGUGGGCCGUUACCCCGCCAACUGCCUAAUCGGACGCGAGCCCAUCUUUCAGCGGAUUGCUCCUUUGAUAUCAGUGCCAUGCGACUCCGAUAUUUUAUGCGGUAUUAGCGUUCGUUUCCAAACGUUAUCCCCCUCUGAAAGGCAGGUUGCUCACGUGUUACUCACCCGUCCG
rnacentral:rRNA from 1 species